UUAUGAAUAAGGAUCGGCUAACUCCGUGCCAGCAGCCGCGGUAAUACGGAGGAUCCGAGCGUUAUCCGGAUUUAUUGGGUUUAAAGGGAGCGUAGAUGGAUGUUUAAGUCAGUUGUGAAAGUUUGCGGCUCAACCGUAAAAUUGCAGUUGAUACUGGAUGUCUUGAGUGCAGUUGAGGCAGGCGGAAUUCGUGGUGUAGCGGUGAAAUGCUUAGAUAUCACGAAGAACUCCGAUUGCGAAGGCAGCCUGCUAAGCUGCAACUGACAUUGAGGCUCGAAAGUGUGGGUAUCAAACAGGAUUAGAUACCCUGGUAGUCCACACGGUAAACGAUGAAUACUCGCUGUUUGCGAUAUACGGCAAGCGGCCAAGCGAAAGCGUUAAGUAUUCCACCUGGGGAGUACGCCGGCAACGGUGAAACUCAAAGGAAUUGACGGGGGCCCGCACAAGCGGAGGAACAUGUGGUUUAAUUCGAUGAUACGCGAGGAACCUUACCCGGGCUUAAAUUGCACUCGAAUGAUCCGGAAACGGUUCAGCUAGCAAUAGCGAGUGUGAAGGUGCUGCAUGGUUGUCGUCAGCUCGUGCCGUGAGGUGUCGGCUUAAGUGCCAUAACGAGCGCAACCCUUGUUGUCAGUUACUAACAGGUGAUGCUGAGGACUCUGACAAGACUGCCAUCGUAAGAUGUGAGGAAGGUGGGGAUGACGUCAAAUCAGCACGGCCCUUACGUCCGGGGCUACACACGUGUUACAAUGGGGGGUACAGAAGGCAGCUACACGGCGACGUGAUGCUAAUCCCUAAAGCCUCUCUCAGUUCGGAUUGGAGUCUGCAACCCGACUCCAUGAAGCUGGAUUCGCUAGUAAUCGCGCAUCAGCCACGGCGCGGUGAAUACGUUCCCGGGCCUUGUACACACCGCCCGUCAAGCCAUGGGAGCCGGGGGUACCUGAAGUGCGUAACCGCGAGGAUCGCCCUAGGGUAAAACUGGUGACUGGGGCUAAGUCGUAACAAG
rnacentral:rRNA from 1 species